rnacentral:rRNA from 1 species
AGUGAACGCUGGCGGUAGGCCUAACACAUGCGAGUCGAACGGCAGCACAGUAAGAGCUUGCUCUUACGGGUGGCGAGUGGCGGACGGGUGAGGAAUACAUCGGAAUCUACUUUUUCGUGGGGGAUAACGUAGGGAAACUUACGCUAAUACCGCAUACGACCUACGGGUGAAAGCAGGGGAUCUUCGGACCUUGCGCGAUUGAAUGAGCCGAUGUCGGAUUAGCUAGUUGGCGGGGUAAAGGCCCACCAAGGCGACGAUCCGUAGCUGGUCUGAGAGGGUGAUCAGCCACACUGGAACUGAGACACGGUCCAGACUCCUACGGGAGGCAGCAGUGGGGAAUAUUGGACAAUGGGCGCAAGCCUGAUCCAGCCAUACCGCGUGGGUGAAGAAGGCCUUCGGGUUGUAAAGCCCUUUUGUUGGGAAAGAAAAGCAGCAGGUUAAUACCCCGCUGUUCUGACGGUACCCAAAGAAUAAGCACCGGCUAACUUCGUG